CUCCAUCCACCCACGUCUGAGUGAAGUCAUAGGGGCCGGCAAAGCAUCUCAGGCUCUAUGCAUAACUCCCUUCACCAUUUCUGGUGAAGGUUCACAAUAUCCCACAAACACCAGAGUACAAAAGGAUAGUAUGAACAAUGAAUAGCACAUAUCGGAAGCACACGCGGAACAACAAAACGUACAUGUGCCUUUACGAGUCAAUCCGAAGUAAGCAAUAAUCUUUCAUAAUUAUAUUCAGAUUUGAAAGGAAUUGAAAGCAAGGG
rnacentral:lncRNA from 1 species